GCAAUGGACGAAAGUCUGACGGAGCAACGCCGCGUGAGCGAUGAAGGCCUUCGGGUCGUAAAGCUCUGUUGUUAGGGAAGAACAAGUGCUAGUUGAAUAAGCUGGCACCUUGACGGUACCUAACCAGAAAGCCACGGCUAACUACGUGCCAGCAGCCGCGGUAAUACGUAGGUGGCAAGCGUUAUCCGGAAUUAUUGGGCGUAAAGCGCGCGCAGGUGGUUUCUUAAGUCUGAUGUGAAAGCCCACGGCUCAACCGUGGAGGGUCAUUGGAAACUGGGAGACUUGAGUGCAGAAGAGGAAAGUGGAAUUCCAUGUGUAGCGGUGAAAUGCGUAGAGAUAUGGAGGAACACCAGUGGCGAAGGCGACUUUCUGGUCUGCAACUGACACUGAGGCGCGAAAGCGUGGGGAGCAAACAGGAUUAGAUACCCUGGUAGUCCACGCCGUAAACGAUGAGUGCUAAGUGUUAGAGGGUUUCCGCCCUUUAGUGCUGAAGUUAACGCAUUAAGCACUCCGCCUGGGGAGU
rnacentral:rRNA from 1 species